CUACUCUUGCGCUCGUGUAUAAUUCGAUACGAGGCCACGAAUUUAAUGGCUGACAAAAUGUCACUAUGUCCGCUGAGCUUUUGACUGUCGAGCUAUCACAUAUCGAUGUUUUAUCCUGGAAACUAAAUAAUCGAGCAAACGAAUAAUGAACGGGGAUGGCCUCGAGAAGAAAGGAAGCCUUUGACAUCGGCGUGCACGAGCGACUCCUUUGAUACACGUGUUUUUCCUCUGUACAUCAUGAAAGAAAAUCAAGCAUCUAAGGAAAGGAUCGAACGAACGGUUGAAUAGUAGACUGAUUGUCACAAGUAUACCGUCAGACACAAAUUAGAUCGGGAAACAACGUUUAACCAUCGAAGAACGCGCGAUAGAACAGCAACAGAGAAACAUUGCUUACAGCUGACUUCCGUAAACCGCAGCCUGAACAAAAUGAUCGUCGCUGACGCGCAUUGCCUGUUGUUCUCUGAAUACAAGGUAAUAGUCUCACAACAGCCAAGCAAGUUUAAGACCAUAAGACCCUUUUCUUUCUCUAAACUUUGCACACAAUGAAACUAACUGCCGUGAAAUCAAAUCUUUAAGGGUGGAAGGCUUCCACAAUACUGUUAUUACACUCUCCGCUGUUUCUUUAAUUUCUGGAAAUAACGAUAAGGAUGAUUCGAGUCAAAUGGACCAUGGAAAAGGUCACAGCCUUGUCUCUUUCGUAAAAAUUUCUUCUAACAGAAAACUCAUUGGUGUAAAAAUUUAUAGACGAGCUAUUAUCCAGCAUCUUAAGCAAUACUUCAUAAUACAUAUUCCUGCAAAUGACUGCAAGUGAAUUGAGUAUUAAUUCGAA